rnacentral:rRNA from 2 species
ACGCCGGCGGUGUGCCUAAUACAUGCAAGUCGAACGCGUUGGCCCAAUUGAUUGAUGGUGCUUGCACCUGAUUGAUUUUGGUCGCCAACGAGUGGCGGACGGGUGAGUAACACGUAGGUAACCUGCCCAGAAGCGGGGGACAACAUUUGGAAACAGAUGCUAAUACCGCAUAACAGCGUUGUUCGCAUGAACAACGCUUAAAAGAUGGCUUCUCGCUAUCACUUCUGGAUGGACCUGCGGUGCAUUAGCUUGUUGGUGGGGUAACGGCCUACCAAGGCGAUGAUGCAUAGCCGAGUUGAGAGACUGAUCGGCCACAAUGGGACUGAGACACGGCCCAUACUCCUACGGGAGGCAGCAGUAGGGAAUCUUCCACAAUGGGCGCAAGCCUGAUGGAGCAACACCGCGUGAGUGAAGAAGGGUUUCGGCUCGUAAAGCUCUGUUGUUAAAGAAGAACACGUAUGAGAGUAACUGUUCAUACGUUGACGGUAUUUAACCAGAAAGUCACGGCUAACUACGUGCCAGCAGCCGCGGUAAUACGUAGGUGGCAAGCGUUAUCCGGAUUUAUUGGGCGUAAAGAGAGUGCAGGCGGUUUUCUAAGUCUGAUGUGAAAGCCUUCGGCUUAACCGGAGAAGUGCAUCGGAAACUGGAUAACUUGAGUGCAGAAGAGGGUAGUGGAACUCCAUGUGUAGCGGUGGAAUGCGUAGAUAUAUGGAAGAACACCAGUGGCGAAGGCGGCUACCUGGUCUGCAACUGACGCUGAGACUCGAAAGCAUGGGUAGCGAACAGGAUUAGAUACCCUGGUAGUCCAUGCCGUAAACGAUGAGUGCUAGGUGUUGGAGGGUUUCCGCCCUUCAGUGCCGGAGCUAACGCAUUAAGCACUCCGCCUGGGGAGUACGACCGCAAGGUUGAAACUCAAAGGAAUUGACGGGGGCCCGCACAAGCGGUGGAGCAUGUGGUUUAAUUCGAAGCUACGCGAAGAACCUUACCAGGUCUUGACAUCUUGCGCCAACCCUAGAGAUAGGGCGUUUCCUUCGGGAACGCAAUGACAGGUGGUGCAUGGUCGUCGUCAGCUCGUGUCGUGAGAUGUUGGGUUAAGUCCCGCAACGAGCGCAACCCUUGUUACUAGUUGCCAGCAUUAAGUUGGGCACUCUAGUGAGACUGCCGGUGACAAACCGGAGGAAGGUGGGGACGACGUCAGAUCAUCAUGCCCCUUAUGACCUGGGCUACACACGUGCUACAAUGGACGGUACAACGAGUCGCGAACUCGCGAGGGCAAGCAAAUCUCUUAAAACCGUUCUCAGUUCGGACUGCAGGCUGCAACUCGCCUGCACGAAGUCGGAAUCGCUAGUAAUCGCGGAUCAGCAUGCCGCGGUGAAUACGUUCCCGGGCCUUGUACACACCGCCCGUCACACCAUGAGAGUUUGUAACACCCAAAGUCGGUGGGGUAACCUUUUAGGAGCCAGCCGCCUAAGGUGGACAGAUGAUUAGGGGAAGUC